rnacentral:piRNA from 1 species
GACAACAGCCUUGUGGGUCGCCUGA